rnacentral:rRNA from 1 species
GUCAUAUGCUUGUCUCAAAGAUUAAGCCAUGCAAGUCUAAGUACGCGCUCUCGUACAGUGAAACUGCGAAUGGCUCAUUAAAUCAGUUAUGGUUCAUUUGAUCGUACAUCGUACUUGGAUACCUGUACAAAAUCUAGAGCUAAUACAUGCGGUCAGCGCCUGCCUUGCGGCGGGUGCGCAUUUAUCAGUACAAAAACCGACCGGGCCGGCUUCGCGUCGCGCUCGCCACGUUUUGGCGACUCUGGAUAACUGAGCGGAUCGCACGGUCUCGAACCGGCGACAGAUCAUUCAAGUGUCUGCCCUAUCAACUUUCGUCGGUAGGGUAUCGGCCUACCGAGGUUCUUACGGGUGACGGGGAAUCAGGGUUCGAUUCCGGAGAGGGAGCCUGAGAAACGGCUACCACAUCCAAGGAAGGCAGCAGGCGCGCAAAUUACCCAUUCCCGACGCGGGGAGGUAGUGACGAAAAAUAACAAUACAGGACUCUAAACGAGGCCCUGUAAUUGGAAUGAGCACACUUUAAAACCUUUAGCGAGUAUCCAUUGGAGGGCAAGUCUGG